rnacentral:rRNA from 1 species
GACGAACGCUGGCGGCGUGCUUAACACAUGCAAGUCGAACGGAAAGGCCAUGCUUUUGUGGGGUUCUCGAGUGGCGAACGGGUGAGUAACACGUGAGUAACCUGCCCUUGACUUUGGGAUAACUUCAGGAAACUGGGGCUAAUACCCGAUAGGAGCUCCUGCUGCAUGGUGGGGGUUGGAAAGUUUCGGCGGUUGGGGAUGGACUCGCGGCUUAUCAGCUUGUUGGUGGGGUAGUGGGUUACAAAGGCUUUGACGGGUAGCCGGCCUGAGAGGGUUACCGGGCACAUUGGGACUGAGAUACGGCCCAGAGUCGUACGGGAGGCAGCAGUGGGGAAUAUUGCACAAUGGGCGGAAGCCUGAUGCAGAAACGCCGCGUGCGGGAUGACGGCCUUCGGGUUGUAAACCGCUUUCGCCUGUGACGAAGCGUGAGUGACGGUAAUGGAUAAAGAAGCACCGGCUAACUACGUG